GUCUCUUUGUAGGAAAAUUAAAUAAAGAGUUGGGCCUGCUCAGUGAAUAUAAUUUUUAACAGCUGCGGUAUUUUAACUGUACUAAGGUAGCAUAAUAAUUUGCCUUAUAAAUUGAGGCUAGAAUGAAAGGUUUGACGAAGGUUUAACUGUCUCUUUCUUAUUUAUUAGAAUUUAAUUUUUUAGUGAAAAAGCUUAAAUGUUUUAAAGGGACGAGAAGACCCUAUUGAGCUUUAAAUUUGGAAAUAUUAUAUUUAUUAAAUAUAAUGNUUGAAAAAUUUUAAUUGGGGUGAUUAAGGAAUAAAAGAAAUAAAUAUAUUAAAAUUUAACUUCCUUAAAUAAUAUAUUGUUAAAUAAAGUAACCAAUAAUAUUGCUUAUAUAAAGUUACCAUAGGGAUAACAGCGUAAUUUAUUUAGAGAGUUCUUAUUGAAAAAUAAGAUUGCGACCUCGAUGUUGGAUUAAAGUGACCUUAAGGUGCAGAAGCUUUAAUAGGUAAAUCUGUUCGAUUUUUAAAACUUU
rnacentral:rRNA from 1 species